UACGUAGGGUGCGAGCGUUGUCCGGAAUUAUUGGGCGUAAAGAGCUUGUAGGCGGUCUGUCGCGUCUGCUGUGAAAAUCCGGGGCUCAACCCCCGGACUUGCAGUGGGUACGGGCAGACUAGAGUGUGGUAGGGGGAGACUGGAAUUCCUGGUGUAGCGGUGAAAUGCGCAGAUAUCAGGAGGAACACCGAUGGCGAAGGGCA
rnacentral:rRNA from 1 species